GGGCAGCCAAGUCGUGAGGCGGAGCUAAUCCCUUUAAAGCCAUUCUCAGUUCGGAUGUAGGCUGAAACUCGCCUACAUGAAGCUGGAGUUACUAGUAAUCGCAGAUCAGAAUGCUGCGGUGAAUGCGUUCCCGGGUCUUGUACACACCGCCCGUCACACCACGGAAGUUGGGGGCGCCCGAAGCCACUUAGCUAACCCUUUUGGGAAGCGAGUGUCGAAGGUGAAAUCAAUAACUGGGGCGAAGUCGUAACAAGGUAAC
rnacentral:rRNA from 1 species